GUCACCUGAGAGAUCCCCGAAAUUCUUGCACUUUGUGUAGGAGGGUGGAAAAGAAAAGCCAGCACAACUGAUCAAUGCAUUUAGGAAAAGAUGUGAAAUGUGUAACACCUGUGGACAUCCUACCUCCUGAACAGGGAGGGAAAAACAGUCAACACGACUGUAUAGUACACAGAAGAAAAGAUAUUUAUGGCAGGAGACACUCUUUCUGGGGACAUUCCAGUUACUACAGGCUUACUCUCUGAGGAAGCACAUCUAACCUUAGAACACUCAGUGGACAAGACAUUUGGGGCUGAAGACACACUCUCUGAGAACAUUCUACUUACUACAGGCUUACUCUUUGUGUAAACACAUCUACUCUCAGGACACUCAGAGGAAAAGAUACUUGUGGCAGGAAAUACUCUUUCUGGGAACAUUCCAGUUACUGCAGGCUUGCUCUCGGUGGAAGCACAUCUAGCCUCAGGACACUCAAUGGAUAAGAUACUUAUGGGUGGAGACACAAGCUCUGAGAACACUCAGAGGAAAAGAUACUUGUGGCAGGAGAGACUUUCUCUGGGAACAUUCCAGUUACUACAGGCUUACUCUCUGAGGAGGCACAUCUAACCUUAGAAUACUCAGCAGACAAGACAUUUUGGGCUGAAGACACACUCUCUGAGAACAUUCUACUUACUACAGGCUUACUCUUUGUGGAAACACGUCUACUCUCAGGACACUCAGAGGAAAAGAUACUUGUGGCAGGAGACACUUUCUCUGGGAACAUUCCAGUUACUACAGGCUUGCUCUCUGUGGAAGCACAUCUAGCCUCAGAACACUCAGCAGACAAAACAUUCAGGACUGAUGAUAAACACUCUGAUAACAUUCUGCUUACUACAGGCUUGCUCCCUGAUGAAAAGACCAGAGCUGAAGAGAAAUUAUUAUGUUCAAAUAUAAGACUCAAAAGAAGCAG